rnacentral:rRNA from 1 species
AUUGAACGCUGGCGGCAUGCUUUACACACGCAAGUCGAACGGUAACAGGGUGCUUGCACCGCUGACGAGUGGCGAACGGGUGAGUAACGCGUCGGAACGUGCCGAGUAGUGGGGGAUAACGCAGCGAAAGUUGUGCUAAUACCGCAUACGUACUGAGGUAGAAAGUGGGGGACCUUCGGGCCUCACGCUAUUCGAGCGGCCGACGUCUGAUUAGCUAGUAGGUGAGGUAAAGGCUCACCUAGGCGACGAUCAGUAGCGGGUCUGAGAGGAUGAUCCGCCACACGGGGACUGAGACACGGCCCAGACUCCUACGGGAGGCAGCAGUGGGGAAUUUUGGACAAUGGGCGAAAGCCUGAUCCAGCAUGCCGCGUGUCUGAAGAAGGCCUUCGGGUUGUAAAGGACUUUUGUCAGGGAGGAAAUCCCUAGUGCUAAUAACACUGGGGGAUGACAGUACCUGAAGAAUAAGCACCGGCUAACUACGUGCCAGCAGCCGCAGUAA